AGAGUUUGAUCCUGGCUCAGAUUGAACGCUGGCGGCAGGCCUAACACAUGCAAGUCGAGCGGAUGACGGGAGCUUGCUCCUUGAUUCAGCGGCGGACGGGUGAGUAAUGCCUAGGAAUCUGCCUGGUAGUGGGGGACAACGUUUCGAAAGGAACGCUAAUACCGCAUACGUCCUACGGGAGAAAGCAGGGGACCUUAGGGCCUUGCGCUAUCAGAUGAGCCUAGGUCGGAUUAGCUAGUUGGUGGGGUAAUGGCUCACCAAGGCGACGAUCCGUAACUGGUCUGAGAGGAUGAUCAGUCACACUGGAACUGAGACACGGUCCAGACUCCUACGGGAGGCAGCAGUGGGGAAUAUUGGACAAUGGGCGAAAGCCUGAUCCAGCCAUGCCGCGUGUGUGAAGAAGGUCUUCGGAUUGUAAAGCACUUUAAGUUGGGAGGAAGGGCAGUAAGCUAAUACCUUGCUGUUUUGACGUUACCGACAGAAUAAGCACCGGCUAACUCUGUGCCAGCAGCCGCGGUAAUACAGAGGGUGCAAGCGUUAAUCGGAAUUACUGGGCGUAAAGCGCGCGUAGGUGGUUUGUUAAGUUGGAUGUGAAAGCCCCGGGCUCAACCUGGGAACUGCAUCCAAAACUGGCAAGCUAGAGUACGGCAGAGGGGGGUGGAAUUCCACGUGUAGCAGUGAAAUGCGUAGAGAUGUGGAGGAACACCGAUGGCGAAGGCAGCCCCCUGGGCCGAUACUGACGCUCAUGCACGAAAGCGUGGGUAGCAAACAGGAUUAGAUACCCUGGUAGUCCACGCCCUAAACGAUGUCAACUAGGUGUUGGGUGGGUAAAACCAUUUAGUACCGUAGCUAACGCGUGAAGUUGACCGCCUGGGGAGUACGGCCGCAAGGUUAAAACUCAAAGGAAUUGACGGGGACCCGCACAAGCGGUGGAUGAUGUGGAUUAAUUCGAUGCAACGCGAAAAACCUUACCUACCCUUGACAUGUCCAGAAGCCCGGAGAGAUUUGGGUGUGCCCGAAAGGGAACUGGAACACAGGUGCUGCAUGGCUGUCGUCAGCUCGUGUCGUGAGAUGUUGGGUUAAGUCCCGCAACGAGCGCAACCCUUGUCGUUAAUUGCCAUCAUUUAGUUGGGCACUUUAACGAGACUGCCGGUGACAAACCGGAGGAAGGUGGGGAUGACGUCAAGUCCUCAUGGCCCUUAUGGGUAGGGCUUCACACGUCAUACAAUGGUCGGUACAGAGGGUUGCCAAGCCGCGAGGUGGAGCCAAUCCCAGAAAGCCGAUCGUAGUCCGGAUUGCAGGCUGCAACUCGCCUGCAUGAAGUCGGAAUCGCUAGUAAUCGCGGAUCAGCAUGUCGCGGUGAAUACGUUCCCGGGUCUUGUACACACCGCCCGUCACACCAUGGGAGCGGGUUCCGCCAGAAGUAGGUAGCCUAACCGUAAGGAGGGCGCUUACCACGGCGGGGUUCGUGACUGGGGUGAAGUCGUAACAAGGUAGCCGUA
rnacentral:rRNA from 1 species